rnacentral:rRNA from 1 species
GAUGAACGCUGGCGGCGUGCCUAAUACAUGCAAGUCGAGCGAACCACUUCGGUGGUGAGCGGCGAACGGGUGAGUAACACGUAGGUUAUCUGCCCAUCAGACGGGGACAACGAUUGGAAACGAUCGCUAAUACCGGAUAGGACGAAAGUUUAAAGGUGCUUCGGCACCACUGAUGGAUGAGCCUGCGGCGCAUUAGCUAGUUGGUAGGGUAAAGGCCUACCAAGGCGACGAUGCGUAGCCGACCUGAGAGGGUGAACGGCCACACUGGGACUGAGACACGGCCCAGACUCCUACGGAGGCAGCAGUAGGGAAUCUUCGGCAAUGGGCGAAAGCCUGACCGAGCAACGCCGCGUGAAUGAUGAAGGCCUC